CUCUCCUUUCCGACAAAGGAGGAAAUGCCAGUCUGGUCAGCCAGUAAGUGAGAUAUAAGUUAGACAGCAGUGGCCUUGUAACAGUAGCUGUUCCCGUUGUUGUGUUGAGAGGAAACAAGGUUUUUUGGAUUGUUGUGAUUCUUGUGAUUUAUCAACUGAUUGUGUUGUUUUGUGAUCAUGUUGACACUAAAGAACAAAACCUGUUCUCAGCAGGUUAAAAAAGUGACAGGAAGCUUCUUAUUUGACAGUUUCCUUUAUUUUCAUCUUCUUUUGAGUAUUUGUUUCCUCACUCACUGACAGCUUGCUUUGUUUCUCUUUGCACCUGUGUAGUUAGUGUGUUUAUUGCAAUGUGCUGAGCUUUGUGUGUGUGUAAAUAUACACGUGCAAGCGUGUGAGCGUGUGACAUCCACCUCCAUCCCUGUUACCUGUUGCCGUGUUGCAGCGGCUUCCCUAUCUUAAAGGGCUGGUACCCUGAGAAUGAUAAUGGCGAGACUUUUUAGAGACUCUAAACAACACUGAGUUCAAACAAACAACAACAACAUAAAACAAAAGGCAUGUUUGCUUGUUGGAAAAGGGGAAAAAGACAUCUUGUUCCCUUGCUUUUCUUUGACGAGGAUGCUUUCUGUGUCUGUGUCUGAAUGUCCCGGCAUCCUGGCUACCCCCCCGCUCGCCAUUCCCAUCUCCUCCUUCUCGCUCCUCAUACUUCCCGCUUGGAUGAUUUAGCAACUCAUCCCUUGCUUUGCUCCCCAGGACUUAGUCCAAAUGUUACAAAACACCAAGACAUGGGAUUCAGGCACACAUCACUGAGGUUCAUCUUAAUAUUUACAUGUUUACAGCAUUUUUUUUGGUUUGUUUUUGUAUAAGAUAUUAACAUCAUGUUCAAUUCAGCCAGGAUGAACACAUCCUUCCAAACACUUUCAACGUUCACACUCUCCAGUAUGUCUCAACAACAUUCCUCCUUAAUGCAUCCCUAAUUUUCAUUUCCUGUCUUGUCUUUUCUCCUGUGAUCUCCUGUGUCUUUCUCUCCUGCCUGCCCCUGCUGCUUGUCUCUGUGCCUCUGGCCUUUCCUCUGUCCCUCUGGCCCCCUCUGCUGUGGUGGGUGUGUAAAAACAGCCUCCAGAGGACAGGACCUGGGUGUACUCUCCGCUACACUAUGGCUCAGAGUCUAAGGCCCUGCCAGAUGGGGAUUGGGAAAGAGAGACAUAAAUCCUGUUUUCUGGCAGACAGGAGUGAACGUCUCAGCGGAGAGGACUCAUCAGUCUGAAGUCCAGACCUCAGUGGCGGCAGCGCGAUCUCUGUCUGAACCAGGAUUUAAAAACAUGCAUACAGAAACACACUGAGAUGAAAAAGUGACUGUACCAGAGUACCAGAGGGAGAAAAAAACCCUGACAGUGAUGAUAUCACUGGUUUGCAACCAUCCCUGCCUUUCACCCUUUGACAAAUGAAAUUUAUUACAUCAGUUUAAUAAAUAAUUGUAUGUGUGACAUAGUGCGCAUAAGGCCGUAUGUAGUCUUGUAUGUUUGACACACCCAAAAGACCACGAUAACCUACUUUUUGUUCUGUUUCACACUAACACAGCCCUCCAACUGACUCUUUCCCGACGAAUCUCUUAAAGUCAUUUUUAUUCGUGAUAUCCUUUAUGUUGCAAAGCGGUCACACAUACUAGCCAGCAGUAAUCUCCUGGGUUCUGUGAUCAAACAAAACCACAAGAAGCUCAUUAAAACAUUGAUCCAUGACACAAAUACGGGUUAAAAAAUCCUAAAUUGAGUGGAUGCUCCUUAUAGAAAUGUACCUCUAAGUUUUAAAGUAUUAAAGUUUUCCAUUUUUAAGCAACUGUUCAUCUUUUGUAGCGAGGCUUUAAUGAAGCUAUAUUAAUGCUACUACUGCCUUCGGUUCUUAAUAAAGAAAAUGAAUGGCACAUCCAGAACUAGGAGCAUAUAAAGUAGUUUCUCCCAGUAAGGAAACCUAAUUUGAAGAAAAAUGAAAUUAAACUCGUUAAUCUCAAAAUGAUCUCCAGUGCAAUUACCUUAGACUGGAACAUAUCAGUCAUCCUGUGACUGCACUGGCUGCUGUGUUUCCAACCAGUUCGAAGGAAAUCUCCAGCUCAGUGGUUGUAAUUGCUGCCAGUAUGGUGCCCAUUUCCAUUAUGCCGCUGCUGUUGAAGUUAAUUAGCUGUGUCUGCUUUUCCAUGAUAAUCUUACCAGAGGUCAUCAUCACAAAAUUCAGAACAGUUUGAUGCUAAAAGAUUUUUGCAAAACCAAGUGUGCAAAAGUACGUCUUACUAGGCAGCCACCAUAGCCUGACAUAACUUGGCUAAAUAGGGCUUUUUCUUCCUUUUUUUCCCCUGAGGCAGUGGAUUACUCUUCUGUAUCCCGUGAUGUUGGAGGGCCCACUUUGAGCCAAUCAAAGCAGAACAUCCAGAUAUCUCUGUCAUCCUUUAAAGUAGUGAAAAUAUGCAGUUUAACUUUAAAAAAAAAUCAAAAACAUAUUCAUCUACAGCAUUAUUAAAACUUAAGUCCUGUUGUUAUAUUUUCAUUUCUAAACUUUUCUUCAGCUGUUUUUACUACUGUGAACUUUUAUUUAUUUGUCUGUUUGUAUUUGAUUGUAAUAUUCACGACUGGUACUUUUCACUCAUUUUUUUUUAUUAUCCAUUUGCAUCCAAAGACUUUUAGUUUUUGUUUUGCUCAUUUUCUUCACUGCGGUAUUUUGUUCUCUUUUUCACGUGUUGUCUAAUCCAGUGUUGUUUUCCACUACACCACAUGUUGUUCCAAUAGCUGAGGGUGAUGACUCUUGCCUUCAAAAUAGAAGGCGUCAAUUACAACACUAAGGCAGCAGACAUUGUCAUUAGAGUAAUUUUCACGUCUACACAAUGUCUUCCAGUGUUGCCCUGCUUUCGGACCGACGCACAGGGAUCAUUUGUAACAGCAGAAUCAGCAUAUCAGUUACUUUUUUCUACAUCACCUCCUCGCGUCAAGAAAAUCGGGGAAUCUUUCCAAUGUUUGUAGAUGUAGAGCACCAGUUGUAGUGUUUGCGGUCGAUAUCGUAGCCGUUACCUGUAUAUUCCAGUGAACGCAGUGCGUGUUGGCUUGGUGAGACACAGCAGUUUGUGAAUGGGUUGAAUGUCGUUUGCGCUCAUUAAAAGGACCUGAAGACGAACUAGUGGUAGAGGCCAAAUAAACACUCGUCACAUUAUCCAGAAGUCAUAUUUUCGAGUUCUUAGAUAAGAGUCUCUGCUCGCACGUGCUGAUAUUUGGACAGUAUUUAUUUUAGGUUUGUGUGUGUGUGCACAUGUGUCUGUGACAUCAAUCAAAGUCAUUGUACAUUUAGUGUUUACUGUAGUCUCUCUGUGGCUGACAUCUUAAAGAUUUGAAGGUUUUUUUGGGUUUUUUAAACUAACUACAGGCAGUUUCUUCGGUUCGUUGGUACCUUUUUACGUGUGUUUGUGUGUAAGGGAGGUUACAUCAAUGUCAGCUGUUGUAAAAUAAGAAUCGGUUUGUUCUCAUGACGUGCAGUGGCCAGUUGUAAUCAGUUUGCUGUUGUUCAUCAGAUGAAGACCAUAGCAGCAAUAUUUUGUACAGUUAAGCUUUUACGUUAAUUGCCUUAUUAGGAAAUUUUACAUAUAGGUCUGUUGUUUAUAUUUUUUUUCCACUUGUGCUGUAAUAUUUAUUUUUCGUUCUCAUAGUUGUGCUCCCGAGAAUGUGUACAUAAAACUAUAAAUACAUAUAUAAAGAUAUACAAAUAUAUUUUCCAUUUGAAUCGGGAAAAUAUUAUUUUUAUUUGGUUUCAUUUUUGCUGCUGGGCAAGAAAUGAUUGCAAUCUACAUGAUUUUACUGUACCAUAUUCUUCAGUGUGUUUAUUGAGAUGCAGCUGCUGUAUAUUUAUGGUUUGCGAACCACGGCUGUGUCUCUGUAUGAUAUCCAAAACCGAAAGAUUUGUGGGGUUUAAUGUACAUGCAGAUCAAUAGGGAUUCUUCCAACUGUUCAGCUGUGUCGUGUGUGUUUUCAAAUCCCUGUGUGCCCUCAUCCAAUAGGGAGAGUCCUUUACAGAGACAUAGCAUGAUAUCAAAAUGAAUAUGCAUAUCAGAAAUGUGUAUUUAUGUAUAUCUGUGUAAAUUCAUCUAUUUAUACACGAGGAUAAAUAGAUGACUGUGUGUGCGUGUGUUUGGACUCAAUCAGAAUGAAUACGAAAUAAAGCAGUUCUAUGAAUUGUU